CCGAAAAAAAAGAAGGAAACGUGAUGGCCAACAUUGUGUUUAAGUUUAAAUCACUGUGCGUAAGAGAUUUAACUGUUAAACACAAUGCCUCUAACCUGUAAGCCCUGCCUGCCCAAGGAAGGUAACUUCCUGGAAUUGGGGGUGCUGUUGUUUAUGUAAGAUAAUAAGCCAUGAGUUUUUGCUUCUAUAAACACGCUUGGUUGCCCCAAACGCACAGGAUGUACCUGGUCGCCCGCUGUCAGCAGGUUCACCGCCCAAACGAACAUCGGGGUGCAUACUUGCCCCUGACUAGAUAAAGGUGGAAAGUAGGUGGCCUUGUGGGCUUUGCUUUUUUUAAGCCCCUGACUUACAAUCGUGCUCUGGAGAUAGUGGGUGCGGACCUGGCAAGUAUCCACAGACAGGGCCAGUAAAAAGCUUGCUUCAAAUUUGGCUCAGAAAUUGUGGUAAUGAUCUUCUUCUUCCCUGGUGGGGUCAGCAGUCAGAGGACAAUUUAUGUGAGUUGGUUUUCUUCUACCAUGUAGGUUCUGGGAUUCAAACUCAGGUCUUCAGGUUUGGUGGCAAGCACCGUCACCUGCUGAGCCGUCUUGCUGACUCCAGAAUAAACUGUCUGCUAUUCUAUUUGGAGUGCCCUGGGUGUCUCAUUCAUUUUAUGGACCAACCACUCCAUCAGGGACCCAUCUACCACUCUCCGCACCAUUGGUGAUGUGAUGCAUGUGGAGGGCUUGUUAGUGUCCACCUCCUCUAACAAGCACAACACUGAAUUUCUGGGCAGGGUCUGAACUUAGGACACAGGCUGCUUUGAAGGAUCUUCAGAAGAAAAGAGACAUAUCUUUUCCAACCAACAUACUUUAUUGCUUUUGCAUUAGCAAAGAAGAGCUUGGUAUAUUGAUGGAUAUGGAGAUGACCAUCCAAGGACCUAAGGUGAAGCCUGGAAAGGGGCCCGUGGCAGGGGCUGGGUCAGGAUCUAUGAAUGGGGCAGGACCUAUGCCAAUGAUCACCAAAUCCAUCCCCAGAGAAGGGCAUAAAAUACAGAGGUAGAAAAACAGAA
rnacentral:sRNA from 1 species